UGUUAAGUUCCUUUUUAACCUUUCCUUGUAAGUUUUUAAAGAAACUGGUCUAGGAUUUUGAAUUAGGCACUGAGAGUCAUUUUUUGUUUUGCAGAUACAAAACUCUGUAAAAAAAUACAAUACGAGUGUGAGGAACUGACUCUGCUGUGUUUUGAACCCUGGUUUACAUGCUGCUAAACCUCUUCCUUACCAGUUCACCAGCAUGCCUUUUUAAAAAGUGUAAAAAAAAAAAAAGAGAUACAAGAGGGGUCAGGCUGCUGCUUCUACUUCUAUUGGCCGAUGGAUAAUCUCAGCCAUUAGUCAGGUUUACGCAGCUUCCGGGGUUCCAGUUCCAUCAGGUCUUCGAGCUCAUUCCACCAGAUCAUUGGACUCUUCAUGGGCAGCUGCAGCCAACAUUUUUCCGGAUCACAUUUGUUCAGCAGCAACAUGGUCCUCCCUUCGAGACAUUUAUUUAUCACUAUCAGCUGGACGCAGUUCGUUCUUCUACUACGGAAUUUGAUAGAGGUGUCCUCUCC
rnacentral:lncRNA from 1 species